GGGAAAGGCCUUUCUUUGCACAGCUCCUGUGCCGAGCAGUAACUGUGAGGCGAGUCCCAGCGCAGAAUGGCAGCUCAGGGCCAGCAGGGAGCUGGGUUUAUAGGAGCUAAGGGAGAGUUCAGUGCAGUGGAGGGGGGGGGGGGGGGAAGGCUGGGAAAUGCAAGGUUGAAGCUGCCAGAACGGGCCCUGCCUGGAGAGCCUUCAGAAGCUGAUUGCACACAGUGCUAAGCAAGAGGAGGACGAUGCUCUGUGCAGGAUUUUCUCUUUCAAGGAAACUUGAAAAAAGAAACUCAAAAAGUUCUUAAUUUCAGUUAUAUAUCAGAUUGGGAGAUCCAGUUACAUGUGUGCUCACAGGCAGGCUGAGCAAGCAGUCACCAGUGUAAAAUGGUGAUGACUGUUUUUAUAGAGACUCACGGAGAGCUCAUGUGGAAGCAAAUAAACGAGAGAGAUGGAAAUGUUUAGGGACAGGAAGGCAUUACUAGCAGCCCCAACUGCAGUGGGCUCUCUGCUGAGCAUUUCUGACCAUGGCAAAAUCGGAGUCUUGCUCCAUUCUAAUGAGAUAGUGAGCUCCCAUUUGUCAGCAAGUCAGUUUGGAGAUGUUUUUCCUGCCUUAUGUUUCUUCCUUUUUUACAUAACUGUUGUUUCGGACUUUGUCAAUGUACUGUAAAGCUAGUAAGAAUUAUAUUAGGGGUUCUCUAUGGUGAUUAUUAUUAUUUCUCAAUACAGGAAAAGAUGAUAAAUGACUGGGGAUGACACACCUUGAUUAAUUGCAGAAAAUGAUGUAGAAAUUCCAAGAAAACAGUCUCCUGGUCUCUUACUGUCCCUCAAUAGUUAUAAAUCUGCUACGUGUGUCUUCAUAAAGUAGCUGACUGUUGAAGUUGGCAUAUGUGAUGGGUAGGAUCUGCACAGAUGUGCGUGGGGUUGUGACAGCAGGGCAGACGUUUGGACGGAAGAAGGAAAUGGAAAGGAAAUCAGCAACUGAGUGAAUCUUUUGGUGAGGUCUGACAGGCAGAUGGAAAGCAUGAAUUACAAAGGCUUUUAAAAAGAUCUGUUUGGGGUUUAUGUUUACAGAGAGAUUUAACAAAACUGGCUGGCCUUAAAAUGCAGAGGUCUUCACUAAAAUCAGAUGUUUGGAAGUGCAAUGGGUUGCUCACCCUGACCCAGAAUAUAGAAGAGGUUCACAGAGAUUCAACAAGACAUGAGCAAGGCUGGUGAGGCAGUGCCCCUGUAAACCAUUCAGCAGAUUCUGAAAAGGGCUUAGAGGUCAGUGGGUUGUGGAGUCGGGGAAGGGAGGAGGGCAUGACCCCUACUGAAGAGAGCUGCACCUAGGGACUAUGAGCUGCCAACCGAGAGCAUCUAGGACAGCAGGAGAAGGCACUGUCAGAACAAGCUUGGAUUUGUGCAGCAGGGACUGACGUGCUGAUGGAACGGCUUUAUGGGGAACAAAGCAAGGUAGGUGCUGCAUCUGAUGGACGUGGAAGAUAUUGGGCAGAGGCUCUCUCAUUAAGAAACUGCCUGCUGGAACUCCCUCCAGCCACCUGGCAUCCAAAACGCAACAGCGGAAGGGAUCCUGUUGGUGUUUUUCAGUAAAUGUUUUGCACAGAGCCAUCUUUGUUGACUGUGUCUAUUGCUUUGCAGUUGUUUAUGGCAUCAUUAAUCUUUUUCCAGACUUAACUGAAACUCAUGCUUUACCAAUCCAAGGAUUAACUUCAUCAUAGCAAAAAUUGUUUUUUAAUUACAUUUUCAUUCCAAAGAGGACAAUUUUUUUUAGACAGAUCCUCAGAUCAUGUUGUCUCAAAUAUUUUAUUUUUUUUUCUUUCCAACUACUAUUUUUGUUAAAUUUCA
ensembl:lncRNA